rnacentral:lncRNA from 1 species
UUAUACAAGUUUAAAAGGACAAAAUGUCCCUUGAUUUUUGUACGUUUCUAAAUUUAGUAUGAUAUUGGGGUCGUCCUGAGAAUUUACCAUGUUAAUUGUAGUAUUAAAUAAUGAAUACAGUUAUUUUAAUCUUUAUGUUAAUUUUACCCAUAGUCCUAGUUUCUUUUGGUCUCUGUGAAGAAUGGUUGGGAGGAUGUUGGUGAUUAUUUGAAAAGAAGUCAUUUAUAAGCAAGUCUUGGUGUUUGCCAAGUUUCUUUUCUCCCCCACGUCGCCUUUCAAUUUUUCACAUUUUAGUGUGGAAUUUUAUCUUUUUUCCCCAAUGCUGUACUCCUCAAGUUGAAGGUCGGAGGCCCUUUCAUAAUGUUCAUAAAGAAAGCAGAUUUCUGUUAGGAACUAAUCUUAUUUGCACCAAGAUAAUGGAGUCUCUGUCCAUGUUACAAACAAUGAAAAUUCCUCAAGGUGAUUCGAAAGACACAUUUAUGAACACUAGACAUAUUGUUGGCUUUAAGGGCCAUUUGCAGUUGUGAGCCAGUAGAUCACAUACCAUAAGCAUGAUUAGUGAGUGCUAGGAAGACAUGAAUUAAAGCAUGGGGGUUGUCAGGGAAGAGUUGAUAUCAGGAAAGAACACUAUGACCGUGGCUCCCUUUGAAACCUGUGGGAGAGCCUUGGGCUGGGUCCAACAGAAUAGGUAUCUUAACAGUGAGAUGGAAGUCUGACCUAGUAAAAGAAACUAUCUUGUUUGAGUUUAUUGUGUCCAACCUAAGUAUUAAUCUAGCUACUUUGUGAUUAUUGUAUUUCCUAGAUAGAAAUAGUGGAGCCUAUCCAUGAACUCCUAAAUUCACAGUGCUGGCAGUGAUUUCAAAAGUUUAUUUAAUUCUAUGUGUGUGACCCUGGGUCAACAACUGUAUUAUACCCCUGAAAAUGCAAAUAUGAAAACCUACCACAAUCUCGGGUUGUAAGACUAUAAGAUAGUUGAAGUCUUACUAUGGUUAACAUAGUCUGUUGAUAAUUUAGGGAUUUUUGUUUUUAUUUUUGUUUUAUUCUUUAUUUAUUCUUUAUUUUGUUUCAUUUACUUCCCAAUGUAGUGCCAGUUACAAAUUCUUCCUUUGCUUAGAUCUCAGUCUCGUAAGAUAUGUACUCACUUUUGGUAAUGUCAAUUUCCAAAGGAGGUAUUACUCAUUCCUCUCCAUAUAAAAUAAAAACCAAGAUAAUGACAUGCGAACCCAACAAUACCUUUUGUCUGGCUUUCGUGUUGAAAGAACGCAUUUUGGUCAUGAACAAGUCAACUCUUCGUCAUGUAAAUAGUACAGCAAACAAAUAUGUUGAGUUCUGAACAGUUUGGGGAGCAAUGCUGAAUAUAUGUACCUUAAAAAGUUAGCCAUGCCUUUCUCACCAUACUUUAAACAAGUGUAUCAAUUCCUUUAAAGGAAUUGUCUAACUUUUCUUUCUUCAAACUUAAUUGGAUGUUAAUGAUGCUCACUUGAUAUGCUUAUCUUGAAGAUAAAAAAUUUAAAUACUCAACAUGCCUAGCAAACCCUUUAUUAGAUUACCCCUUGGCUUAAUCUUUUCCUGCCUCCUUUGUUUCAGCAGAAAAAGAUAGCAUUUUGUAGCCCCUGGGCGCUAGUUGCGAAGUUUGGACACCACUGAAUUAUUGUUUGCACCUCCUUUAGAGUACUUUUAAAUCCUUGUAAGCUCUAGAUGUUAGCCUCAAUUUUAAAUUAAAAUGG